rnacentral:rRNA from 1 species
CUUCGGAUUGUAAAGCACUUUAAGUUGGGAGGAAGGGCAGUAAAUUAAUACUUUGCUGUUUUGACGUUACCGACAGAAUAAGCACCGGCUAACUCUGUGC